rnacentral:tRNA from 1 species
AAGGGUAUAGCUCAGUGGUAGAGCACUGUGCUUAGCAUGCACAAGGUCUUGCGUUCAAUCCCCAGUGCCUCCA